AGAGUUUGAUCCUGGCUCAGAUUGAACGCUGGCGGCAUGCCUUACACAUGCAAGUCGAACGGCAGCGCGGACUUCGGUCUGGCGGCGAGUGGCGAACGGGUGAGUAAUGCAUCGGAACGUACCUUUCAGUGGGGGAUAACGUAGCGAAAGUUACGCUAAUACCGCAUAUUCUGUGAGCAGGAAAGCAGGGGAUCGCAAGACCUUGCGCUGAUGGAGCGGCCGAUGUCAGAUUAGCUAGUUGGUGGGGUAAAGGCUCACCAAGGCGACGAUCUGUAGCGGGUCUUAGAGGAUGAUCCGCCACACUGGAACUGAGACACGGUCCAGACUCCUACGGGAGGCAGCAGUGGGGAAUUUUGGACAAUGGGCGCAAGCCUGAUCCAGCCAUGCCGCGUGAGUGAAGAAGGCCUUCGGGUUGUAAAGCUCUUUCGGCCGGGAAAAAAUCGCUUGGGUUAAUACCCUGAGUGGAUGAUGGUACCGGAAUAAGAAGCACCGGCUAACUACGUGCCAGCAGCCGCGGUAAUACGUAGGGUGCGAGCGUUAAUCGGAAUUACUGGGCGUAAAGCGUGCGCAGGCGGUUUUGUAAGACAGGCGUGAAAUCCCCGGGCUCAACCUGGGAACUGCGUUUGUGACUGCAAGGCUAGAGUAUGGCAGAGGGGGGUGGAAUUCCACGUGUAGCAGUGAAAUGCGUAGAGAUGUGGAGGAACACCAAUGGCGAAGGCAGCCCCCUGGGCCAAUACUGACGCUCAUGCACGAAAGCGUGGGGAGCAAACAGGAUUAGAUACCCUGGUAGUCCACGCCCUAAACGAUGUCAACUAGGUGUUGGGUGGGUAAAACCAUUUGGUACCGUAGCUAACGCGUGAAGUUGACCGCCUGGGGAGUACGGCCGCAAGGUUAAAACUCAAAGGAAUUGACGG
rnacentral:rRNA from 1 species